rnacentral:rRNA from 1 species
CCGGAUUAAUACCGCAUACGAUCUACGGAUGAAAGCGGGGGAUCUUCGGACCUCGCGCUAUAGGGGCGGCCGAUGGCGGAUUAGCUAGUUGGUGGGGUAAAGGCCUACCAAGGCGACGAUCCGUAGCUGGUCUGAGAGGACGAUCAGCCACACUGGGACUGAGACACGGCCCAGACUCCUACGGGAGGCAGCAGUGGGGAAUUUUGGACAAUGGGGGAAACCCUGAUCCAGCAAUGCCGCGUGUGUGAAGAAGGCCUUCGGGUUGUAAAGCACUUUUGUCCGGAAAGAAAACGCUCUAGCUAAUAUCUGGGGCGGAUGACGGUACCGGAAGAAUAAGCACCGGCUAACUACGUGCCAGCAGCCGCGGUAAUACGUAGGGUGCGAGCGUUAAUCGGAAUUACUGGGCGUAAAGCGUGCGCAGGCGGUUUGUUAAGACGGAUGUGAAAUCCCCGGGCUCAACCUGGGAACUGCAUUCGUGACUGGCAAGCUAGAGUAUGGCAGAGGGGGGUGGAAUUCCACGUGUAGCAGUGAAAUGCGUAGAGAUGUGGAGGAACACCGAUGGCGAAGGCAGCCCCCUGGGCCAAUACUGACGCUCAGC